GUCUGGCAGGAGUGGCCGAGGGUUGAGGGACCGGCUUGGGCAGGGCUGGUGGGCACCUGGUGGGAGUGUGGCAUGGGGUCCCAGGUGUCUUGCGGUCUGGGUGACAUCGGCAUGGCAUGCGGUGGGCCCAAGCUGGGCACGUAGAGGGCAGAGGGGGGAGCCAGACAUUCAUCCCGGUCAGUUUUGGUUUUAGGUCGUGGCGGCUGGUGGACGAGGGGAGCUGGCGAGGGGUUCGCCCGGGACCUGGGGCAGUUGGGCUGUAGCUGGCAGCUGUGGGUAAGUGAGGCAGCGGCCUGUCGGCCUGGCGAGUCCCUCCCUCCCCGAGCCUUGCUUUGCCGGCCUUCCGCAAGUGGGAGGCGGCAGGGAGCAAGGAGCGGUGAGGGGACGCGGCUGGCCUCCCGGCGGGUCGGCAGGACGAAGGAGGGCGGUCAAGACAGGUGACAUCGUCUCAGGGGGAGCUGAGACUGCGCAGGCUGGUGGGGGCCGUGUGCCCUUCCCAGGUAGAGCGAGCAUUUCAAGAGCGCGGGCGGGAGAUGAGGCUGGGCUGCCAGCGAGGGAGGGACAGGUGGCCGAGGGGGUCCAGCUUGCGGGGGCCCAGGCCCCGGUCGGACAGGAUGAAGUGGGGACUCAGGACACAGCAGGGUCCCCAGCCGUCACUACAUCUCACCCACUGAAAUUCAUUUAGGAGAAGGCAUAGGAGCGGCUCCAGCACGGGCCUCCCAAGGCCCAUGUCGGAGCCUCGAGGGCAGGAGAGCGGGAAAGAAGGAGUGGUGCGCGGGGAGACCCGCAGAGGGACGUCACCCGGAGGGAGCGGCGGCUGCAGGUUUGGGCUCCAAGGACAUUUCUGCAGCAAGGAGGCUGCUGUGGGCCCGGCCUGCAGGCGACCGUUCCACGUGGCACUGUGACCCAGGUGCUGAGUGGAGAGGUGACACUUCAUGCCUCCCUGCACAGCCCCUGGGUGUGGUAUGACAGACAGACAGCAUCCAGGGGAGUCAAGGGCACUGGCGAGGUCGGACUAGGUGAGGAGGUUGGGGUGGAGUGAGUGCGAGCUCUGGUGGGGGGUCCGGGCGCAGGCAGGGGGAAGAGCGGGAACCUGGCGGCAAGCCGGCGGGGGCACUGGCCUCCAGAGCCCGAGGCCAAGGCGGGCCUCUGCGGGCAACGAUGGAGCAGGGAUCGGUGCCUCCCGGCUCAGCCUGGAGACGAGGGUCUCCAGGACGGGUGACGUGCCCUCCAGCCACCGAAGGCCGGCGCGAGGCUGCGCUCGGAGGGACAUGACAUGGUCUGGUGUGACGGUGAGGAUGGACGUGAUGCCGUCCGGCCUUCCUGAACAUUCUAGGCUGGCCCGCGGGUGUCAGAACACCUAUAGGUUUCACUCCUUGGCCUUCCCGGAGGAGUCCACACACUGCUGCUCUCUGGACCUCUAGAACCCUCACAUCGACAAGAGAUGGUGCUACCCAGCUCACGCCUGGGCCUUGGAACCGGGACUUCUUCAAGUCCUUCUAGCUCUGACUCAAGAACAUGCUGCAUUCUGGAACCACUUCACGACCCGACUCAGGAAUCGGCUCCGGAAGGUGAAGCUCAAGGAGCGAGAGCAGCCUGACAGCACCACCGUCAGCACGAGCCCCGCGGCGAUCGUCACCCCCGCGUGGCAGCGUCAUCUCCGCGGCCACCCUGCCGUGGCCAGGCCACCACCAGCCGCCACGCCCAACGCCCCUCACCCGCCUUCUCUUCUUCCUUUCCUCUGUUCUCUCAUUUCCUUUCUUUGCUUUCCUUUGUGCCCGGGACGCGCAAAGCCGCCAUGACUCUGUUUCCCUGCCCCUUCCCUACUCAAUUUGCACUAAGUCGUUUGCACUGGUCUGGAGUCAUGGAACCGGCCCGAGUCCCCGAGUGAGUGUGCGAGCCGACUGCUGCGUGUGCCUGGCCUCUGCGGCCUGCCCUGCACCCUGCGCCCUCCUGCCAUCCACCUUGGGGGGCUGCCUGGGUGCAGCCGUGUGUGGGAGGCCCCAACCCCCCUCGCCUGGUCUGGAAGCUCCUGGCACCGAGCAGACCUCAUGCAGCUCCGCUGUAGAGCCCCUCGCCUGUGCCCCUCCCCACCGGGGCUUCGCCAGAAGC